GGGCUUGUACCGGUUUCGACGGGGAUCAUGCAGUCGGUGAAGCUAUCCGCAGGAUGAUGCGUUAAAUCUCAAAUUUAAAUAUAAACGCUAACGAUAAUAGAUUAGCUCUUGCAGCCUAAGCGCUGCUUGUGUCCGUUCGCGGGUACCUGUCCCGGCGAGCUGCGGGCAUCGAUCUGACAGGAAACGACUUAUACAAAGCUUUGAGUAUAUGGGCGUAUCAUGAAGCUUAGCCUGACUUACGGGGUGUUCGCCACCUGUUUGUCAAGCGAAUAAAUAACGACGGACUAUGAUAGUAGAAGAACGAGGAAUUGGUUUUCGGACAGGGGUUCGACUCCCCUCAGGUCCAUAA
rnacentral:tmRNA from 1 species